AUUUUAACACAUUCCCCGUAUGAUUUGUAUGCACAUUAAAAUUUGAGAUAUGCAGCUGGGUGCGGUGGCUCAUGCCUGUACUCCCAGCACUUUGGGAGGCCGAGGUGGGCGAAUCACGAGGUCAGGAGUUCGAGACCACCCUGGCCAACAUGGUGAAACCCCAUCUCUACUGAAAAUUCAAAAAAUUAGCUGAGCUUACUGGCGGGCACCUGUAACCCUAGCUACUUGGGAGGCUGAGGCAGGAGAAUCACUUGAACCCAGGAGGCAGAGGUUGCAGUGAGCUGAGAUCAAGCCACUACACUCCAGCCUGGGUGACACAGUAAGACUCCAUCUAAAAAAAAAAAAAAAAAAAAAAUUGAGACACACUGGAGUGUUAUCUCCAAUGGCUUUUUCAAUGCAACAGUCUAUAAUACUAAUUAGGGGUCAGGUACUCUCCCUAUUGAAGAACAGUUUUAAGAGGAUUAACAACAUCAAAACAUUCUUAAUUUAGUCAACUGGGAGAUGCUUUCUUCCUGUUAUCCCUGAUGUUAACAUUUCCUAUCACAUCAGGUUGCAUUAGAGCCUAUCUUUGGUUAGACAACACCAAGGAUUUCUAAUUAGAACUCAAGAAUGAAGAUAAACUUACUCAUCUUGAUAGUGGAUCUUACACAUUCAACUUUCCAGUUAACUUCCAGCGGCAUUUGUGAGGCUUAAUUAACAUUUGUAAAGCUCCAUGAUGCCCUUGUAUGACAGCACUGCAGUAAAGCAAAGGACUGUGAUUAUAGGAGACUCCUUAACUACUGAUGACUCAUCAACAGUUUUCCUCUCCGCCUUUGUUUGCCUGUCUCCUCUCCAGGCUGCCAGAAAUUGUUUGGUGGGAGAAAACCAAGUCAUCAAGGUGUCUGACUUUGGGAUGACAAGGUUCGUUCUGGAUGAUCAGUACACCAGUUCCACAGGCACCAAAUUCCCGGUGAAGUGGGCAUCCCCAGAGGUUUUCUCUUUCAGUCGCUAUAGCAG
rnacentral:lncRNA from 10 species